rnacentral:rRNA from 2 species
GGGUUGUGAGGUUAAGCGACUAAGCGUACACGGUGGAUGCCCUGGCAGUCAGAGGCGAUGAAGGACGUGCUAAUCUGCGAUAAGCGUCGGUAAGGUGAUAUGAACCGUUAUAACCGGCGAUUUCCGAAUGGGGAAACCCAGUGUGUUUCGACACACUAUCAUUAACUGAAUCCAUAGGUUAAUGAGGCGAACCGGGGGAACUGAAAC